rnacentral:rRNA from 1 species
UACGGAGGGUGCGAGCGUUGUCCGGAAUCACUGGGCGUAAAGGGCGCGUAGGUGGCCUGUGGAAGUCUGCGGUGAAAGCCCGGCGCUCAACGCCGGGUCGGCCGUGGAUACUCUCGGGCUCGAGCUUACUAGAGGCAGAUGGAAUUCCGGGUGUAGCGGUGGAAUGCGUAGAGAUCCGGAAGAACACCGGUGGCGAAGGCGGUCUGCUGGGGUAAUGCUGACACUGAUACGCGACAGCGUGGGGAGCAAACAGG